ACCAAAAUAAAUUGUGCAACAUCGAUAUUUACGUCGACAUUGUCGGGAAAUGUCCGUUUCAAGCCGGUUGUAGUCGAAAUUGUUGGCGAGGAAGCGACGAGUCGUUGCGGACGAACAACACGAGUGCCUCGAGAGAAACGAGUUGAAGCGAAUAGAUUAAACUCGCGUGGAGACGGGUAAAGGGUUAUCGUUGGUAUACGCAUUGCUUUGAGUGGCCAGAGUAGCCUCACGUGAGACGACUUCGACUGAAGAUUUAUCUGAUCGGCGAACUCGAAAGAUUUAUUUGAUCGAUGAUCAAUUUGAUUGACAAAAUUGCUCGCAGCAAAAUUUCUAACUCUGGAAAAUAUUUUCGACACUCGAAUUUAGCCUCUGUCAUCUUCUGUGAGUGUAGUGCCGCCGAAGGUCUCAGAGACCUUGAGGCCGUCGGCCACCGCUGAUUGUAUGUCCAUGUAUGUACGAUAUAUCCAGGGGAAAAGCCGCUAAUGUUCCGAACAAGAAGACACAGGAUAAACUCCUUGCUGAUAAUGUCGAAAUUAUAACGUUGGACGAUUAAGAAUCGCUCAAAUAGGUAAGCCAUGUGCGUAUACAUUUUAUUUUGCGUAAUAUAUGUGUAAUGUUUUUUUUCCCCCAAGAAAUAACAUUGUAUUCAGGCAAUUGCGAUAGUAUUUUAAUAGAAAUGAAAUUACUUUACCGCAUUAGCUACGUUGUGUUUUACAUGCGUUUCGUAUAAUUUCUACUUCGGUUUAUUAAACGCAGAAACUAAUUGCAUGUAAAAUCGUCUACCAAAUUCUUAUGCGACGAAUUGAUAUUGAUACUAAUUUAUAUAAUAUAUAUUAAAUUUAUUCUUCUUUAAAAUUUUUAUG